CCGCAUACGCCCUACGGGGGAAAGCAGGGGAUCUUCGGACCUUGCGCUAAUAGAUGAGCCUAAGUCAGAUUAGCUAGUUGGUGGGGUAAAGGCCUACCAAGGCGACGAUCUGUAGCGGGUCUGAGAGGAUGAUCCGCCACACUGGGACUGAGACACGGCCCAGACUCCUACGGGAGGCAGCAGUGGGGAAUAUUGGACAAUGGGCGCAAGCCUGAUCCAGCCAUGCCGCGUGUGUGAAGAAGGCCUUUUGGUUGUAAAGCACUUUAAGCGAGGAGGAGGCUACUUGGAUUAAUACUCUAGGAUAGUGGACGUUACUCGCAGAAUAAGCACCGGCUAACUCUGUGCCAGCAGCCGCGGUAAUACAGAGGGUGCGAGCGUUAAUCGGAUUUACUGGGCGUAAAGCGUGCGUAGGCGGCUUUUUAAGUCGGAUGUGAAAUCCCUGAGCUUAACUUAGGAAUUGCAUUCGAUACUGGGAAGCUAGAGUAUGGGAGAGGAUGGUAGAAUUCCAGGUGUAGCGGUGAAAUGCGUAGAGAUCUGGAGGAAUACCGAUGGCGAAGGCAGCCAUCUGGCCUAAUACUGACGCUGAGGUACGAAAGCAUGGGGAGCAAACAGGAUUAGAUACCCUGGUAGUCCAUGCCGUAAACGAUGUCUACUAGCCGUUGGGGCCUUUGAGGCUUUAGUGGCGC
rnacentral:rRNA from 1 species